rnacentral:rRNA from 1 species
UUGUCUCAAAGAUUAAGCCAUGCAUGUCUAAGUAUAAACAACUUUGUACUGUGAAACUGCGAAUGGCUCAUUAAAUCAGGUAUAGUUUAUUUGAUGGUUUCUUGCUACAUGGAUAACUGUGGUAAUUCUAGAGCUAAUACAUGCUAAAAACCCCAACUUCGGAAGGGGUGUAUUUAUUAGAUAAAAAACCAACGCCCUUCGGGGCUCCUUGGUGAUUCAUAAUAACUAAACGAAUCGCAUGGCCUUGCGCCGGCGAUGGUUCAUUCAAAUUUCUGCCCUAUCAACUUUCGAUGGUAGGAUAGUGGCCUACCAUGGUAUCAACGGGUAACGGGGAAUUAGGGUUCUAUUCCGGAGAGGGAGCCUGAGAAACGGCUACCACAUCCAAGGAAGGCAGCAGGCGCGCAAAUUACCCAAUCCCGACACGGGGAGGUAGUGACAAUAAAUACUGAUACAGGGCUCUUUUGGGUCUUGUAAUUGGAAUGAGUACAAUUUAAAUCCCUUAACGAGGAACAAUUGGAGGGCAAGUCUGGUGCCAGCAGCC